rnacentral:rRNA from 1 species
AGAGUUUGAUCCUGGCUCAGGAUUAACGUUGGUAGUAUACUUAACACAUGCAAGUCGAGCGGAAUUACAGCGAUGUAAUUUAGCGGCGAACGGGUGAGUAAUGCUUAUCUUACCUGCCUUUUAGUGGGGAAUAACCAUAGGAAACUAUGGCUAAUGCCGCAUUUGUGAGCAAUCAUGAAAGGACCUUUUUGGUUCGCUAAUUGAUGGGGAUAAGUCGUAUUAGCUAGUUGGUGGGGUAAUGGCCUACCAAGGCAAUGAUGCGUAGCCAGCCUGAGAGGGUGUAUGGCCACAAGGGAACUGAGACACGGUCCCUACUCCUACGGGAGGCAGCAGUGAGGAAUAUUUCGCAAUGGACGAAAGUCUGAUGGAGCAACGCCGCGUGCAGGAUGAAGGCUCUAGGGUCGUAAACUGCUUUUAUGUGUGACGAUUUUGACGGUAGCAUAUGAAUAAGGAUCGGCUAACUCCGUGCCAGCAGCCGCGGUCAUACGGAGGAUCCAAGCGUUAUCCGGAAUUACUGGGCGUAAAGAGUUGCGUAGGUGGCUAAGUAAGCAAGGCAUGAAAGCGUGUGGCUCAACCAUACAGCUAUGUUUUGAACUGCUUUGGCUAGAGAGCGAGAGAGGUAGAUGGAAUUUCUAGUGUAGGAGUGAAAUCCGUAGAUAUUAGAAGGAACACCGAUGGCGUAGGCAGUCUACUGGCUCGUCUCUGACACUAAGGCACGAAAGCGUGGGGAGCGAACGGGAUUAGAUACCCCCGUAGUCC